rnacentral:rRNA from 1 species
CCUACGGGGGGCAGCAGUGGGGAAUAUUGGGCAAUGGAGGCAACUCUGACCCAGCAACGCCGCGUGAAUGAUGAAGGUCUUCGGAUUGUAAAGUUCUUUUCUAAGGGAAGAAGAAAGUGACGGUACCUUAGGCAUAAGCCUAGGCUAACUACGUGCCAGAAGCCGCGGUAUUCAGGAGGAGGCAAGCGUUAUCCGGAAUGUCUGGGCGUAAAGGGUGCGUAGGGGGUGUGACAAUUUGGUAGCGUAACUCCGGAGCUCAACUUCGGAACUGCUACCAAAACUGUUUGACUCGAGUGCAGGAGAGGCAGCUGGAAUUUGUGGUGUAGAGGUGGAAUGCGUAGAUAUUAGGAAGAACACCGGUGGCGAAGGCGAGUUGCUGGACUGUAACUGACACUGAGGCACGAAAGCGUGGGGAGCAAACAGGAUUAGAUACCCGAGUAGUC